rnacentral:rRNA from 1 species
AUACGGAAGAUGCGAGCGUUAUCCGGAUUUAUUGGGUUUAAAGGGAGCGUAGGCGGGCUUUUAAGUCUGCGGUAAAAUGGCCGUGCUCAACGCGGUCCUGCCGUGGAAACUGGGAGUCUUGAAUGUGCACAAGGAAGGUGGAAUUCGUGGUGUAGCGGUGAAAUGCUUAGAUAUCACGAAGAACUCCGAUUGCGAAGGCAGCCUUCUGGGGCAUGAUUGACGCUGAGGCUCGAAAGCGCGGGAAUCAAACAGGAUUAGAUACCCUGGUAGUCCGCGCCGUAAACGAUGUCUACUAGCCGUUGGGGCCCUUGAGGCUUUAGUGGCGCAGCUAACGCGAUAAGUAGACCGCCUGGGGAGUACGGUCGCAAGACUAAAACUCAAAGGAAUUGGCGGGG